ensembl:lncRNA
UCCCCUUCUUUCUUUUUUUUUUUUUUUAAGACAAAAUUACAUUCUAGGCAACGAUUGCAGUGACAUUAAGCUCAAGUGAUCAAAAAGUGUUUUGCUGCACCAGUGUCAGCUGUUGAAGGGACAAGCGCUUGUGAUGAAUGUUUGAUAUCUGCCCAUCUUGCUUGAUAUGUAUCCCAGGAGGAGGACAGGAGACAACUUGAUCAGCUCAGCAGUCCCGCUGGCAUUUCUGUGGCCUCUGGAGCCAUAUUUCUCAAAGAACUUAAGGCCAUCUGUGCAAGGGAGGGUCACACUUGAUACUGCUUUGACAAGGAGCCUUUGGCCACGGCUAUAGGGCAGAGGAGGUUUUCCAACAGAAAAUGCCAAUUUGUCAUAAUUGAACCUUUUUGCAGUUUCUAAAGGAAAGUCAGAAAAAAAAAAAAAAGGCGCUUUCUAUUAGUAACAUUAGGCUGGAACUAGAGCAGCAAGCAAACCAUGGCACCAUCCUGCACGUCCUGUUUCACCACCAGUCCAAAGUCCCUCUGGACUAGGAAGGAACAGUGAACUGGAGCAUCCUGGGGCUGGGGACUUGACACAUGUGAAUGUUAUCUCUGUGAUAAAUUGCCAGGUGAUGAUGUGAUGAAUUGCGUUUAUCUUGAGCAGCUGAUGGCCCUGUCUGCUCUCCACUUACUGCGACAUGACACGUGGUGUAGAGUACUCCCAUCCUCAGAACCACCUUCAGGCAGCAGAUGAGAGCUGCAGAAGCAACUAUAGGAUGGCUAAAGGCAUGUGGACUUGAGGAAGAAGUCUCCUGCAUUUUUGGGGGGGUUCACAGAUUUCUGAAUUCUUGGGAGCAGCAGCUUAUCAUGCCGAGGUCACCUGUUCAUCUGUUUGUUCCAGUACAGCAGUGUCAUUACUGUGUUGCUCUCCAGCAUUAGGCUGCAGCUCGGAAGAGGCAAGAGCCGUGUUCAGCACAGGCUCAAAUGUUUCAUGGCCAACGAGGGUGCAGAAACCACAGCGUGGGGAUCUCAUUUGAUGGCGUUGCAGCUGGCUGCAUAGCCUGCCACAGGAGUUAGGUGAGUACCCAGCCACUCAACCUCUGGUUCCUUGAGAGCAAAGCAGCCAGCCAAGGGCCAGUACCUGGUGGUUUAAGCAGCAGCAGCAUAAUAUACGAGUGAAGCAAGUUCCUGUCUCUUACGGCCACACUGGCCGAUUUUUUGUCUUUCCCUAUUGUCACAUUCACUGAUGUACUAGCAUCAGUCUUGGCACUGUAUUUAGCUGUGAAAUUUUACUUUUUCUCUCCCCCCACUCCCCGUAUUUGUGGCUACUGGUCAGGUGUGCCUAAAAGAACAGGACGUGAAGCAACAAAUCAACAAUUUAGGUGCUCAGAAGAGCCUUUCUGGGUGCUCGUGGCAUGUCAAGAGGUGCCUGGGUUCAGCAGAAGGCUUGAGCUGCUCCUGCCCAGUUGGUGCGGUGGCUGCAGGCGGUGUCAGUAGGUUGUGAGCGAGCAAGACUCCUCCCUUGGGCAGCUGAAUGGCGUGGAGCUGGGGCACAUAGCCACUAAGUGCCCUUCCCAGGAAUAAUUCUGCACUCGCAGAGGAGCCAAGCCUCAAAUGCAAGGUUUUGGAGCCAUUUGCACUGAAUAUAAUUAAUUAUUUGUAUUCAUAUAAUUAAGGAGGUGCCAUUAAGACAUACAAGUAGCGAGG